AGCUCCCGCCCCUCCACCAUGUAGGGCAAAGUCGACAGGGGCGUGCCUUCUACUAGAGAACUUUGGCCACAGCUUGUUACCAGCUUAGACAAGACAACGACUAGGGACAGUGAGCAGGCCACAGAGAAGAAUCCGGGUCCUGAGUUUGAGGAAGACAGGAAGGAUAAUAGCCUGUUCCUGCUGGCAGAGCUGAUGUUAACCAGUAAGAUGGGGCGUCCAGUAAAGUCAGCGGUCAGGAGGCCUGUAGACUGCAGAUGGAAGCCCCAAAGCCGCAGAGGAACACAGGGUGACUGUCCAGACAGCCAGCUGUUUCUGUCUGCACCGCACUUCCUGUUUACUCAGGUGGGGAAGGGCAAGCUGUGGAGACAAACAGAUCAGCCAUCAGCACUCCAGGCGUGGGACUGAGACCAUCGCCCCCUCGUUCUUGAGGCACAGGGAUGGCGGGUUCGUGGUAUGCCAGAGCUCCUGGAGGGGGGUCUGUAUCCUUUCUUGUCUUCCCUAGUUCUCUCUCUUUCUCCCUCCUCCUCGCCCCUCUCUCUCCUCUGAGUUUUCAGGUGCUGCUCACUGUCCAGUACUCAUCAAGCUGGGAAACCCAAACACUGCUCAACAGAACACCUUCCAUUCCAUUCAGAGACAGUGUGUGGGGGAUGACAAAACUCUGUAGUCAGAAUGUGACAUGUGAACCUCGGGAGGUGUGCCCCACUUUCUGCCACCGUCUCUGGCUACUCCUCCACAACCUGAUUAAACCCCCGAUAAGCUCA